rnacentral:tRNA from 1 species
UCUAAUAUGGCAGAAAAAUGCAACAAACUUAAGACUUGUCUAUAAAUAAAAUUAUUUUAUUAGAA